GACGAACGCUGGCGGCGUGCUUAACACAUGCAAGUCGAACGGAAAGGCCCUGCUUUUGUGGGGUGCUCGAGUGGCGAACGGGUGAGUAACACGUGAGUAACCUGCCCUUGACUUUGGGAUAACUUCAGGAAACGGGGGCUAAUACCGGAUAGGAGAUCCUGCUCCAUGGUGGGGGUUGGAAAGUCGCGGCGGUUGGGGAUGGACGCGCGGCUUAUCAGCUUGUUGGUGGGGUAGUGGCUUACCAAGGCUUUGACGGGUAGCCGGCCUGGGAGGGUGACCGGCCACAUGGGGACUGAGAGACGGACCAGACUGCUACGGGAGGCAGCAGUGGGGAAUAUUGCACAAUGGGCGGAAGCCUGAUGCAGCAACGCCGCGUGCGGGAUGACGGCCUGCGGGUUGUAAACCGCUUUCGCCUGUGACGAAGCGUGAGUGACGGUAAUGGGUAAAGAAGCACCGGCUAACUACGUG
rnacentral:rRNA from 1 species